rnacentral:rRNA from 1 species
UGGGGAAUAUUGGACAAUGGGGGCAACCCUGAUCCAGCCAUGCCGCGUGAGUGAAGAAGGCCCUAGGGUUGUAAAGCUCUUUCGCACGCGACGAUGAUGACGGUAGCGUGAGAAGAAGCCCCGGCUAACUUCGUGCCAGCAGCCGCGGUAAUACGAAGGGGGCAAGCGUUGUUCGGAUUUACUGGGCGUAAAGGGCGCGUAGGCGGAUGUUCAAGUCAGAGGUGAAAGCCCUGGGCUCAACCCGGGAACUGCCUUUGAAACUGGACAUCUUGAGUAUGGGAGAGGGUGGCGGAAUACCCAGUGUAGAGGUGAAAUUCGUAGAUAUUGGGUAGAACACCAGUGGCGAAGGCGGCCACCUGGCCCAUAACUGACGCUGAGGCGCGAAAGCGUGGGGAGCAAACA